GCCGGUCCUCGGUAGUGGCCGCCGGAACCCCCGACACGCGGGGACGGACCCGGUGGCUUCGAUCGAAGACCGGC
rfam:Kitasatospora cheerisanensis KCTC 2395 genomic scaffold scaffold00001, whole genome shotgun sequence.